AUUGAACGCUGGCGGCAUGCCUUACACAUGCAAGUCGAACGGCAGCAUGAUCUAGCUUGCUAGAUUGAUGGCGAGUGGCGAACGGGUGAGUAAUACAUCGGAACGUGCCCUGUAGUGGGGGAUAACUAGUCGAAAGAUUAGCUAAUACCGCAUACGACCUGAGGGUGAAAGUGGGGGACCGCAAGGCCUCAUGCUAUAGGAGCGGCCGAUGUCUGAUUAGCUAGUUGGUGAGGUAAAGGCUCACCAAGGCGACGAUCAGUAGCUGGUCUGAGAGGACGAUCAGCCACACUGGGACUGAGACACGGCCCAGACUCCUACGGGAGGCAGCAGUGGGGAAUUUUGGACAAUGGGCGAAAGCCUGAUCCAGCAAUGCCGCGUGUGUGAAGAAGGCCUUCGGGUUGUAAAGCACUUUUGUCCGGAAAGAAAUGGCUCUGGUUAAUACCUGGGGUAGAUGACGGUACCGGAAGAAUAAGAACCGGCUAACUACGUG
rnacentral:rRNA from 1 species